AGGGCUAUAGCUCAGUUGGUAGAGCACCUCGUUUACACGUCUACGGUUCGAGUCCGUAUAGCCCUA
rnacentral:tRNA from 4 species